UGGUCUAGUGCUUAAGAUUCAGCACUUCCACUGCUGUGGCCUGGGUUCAAUCCCUG
rnacentral:tRNA from 1 species